GACAGAGGUGCCAAGCGUUAGGCGGAAUCACUGGGCUUAAAGCGUGUGUAGGCGGGCCCGUAGGUACCUUGUGAAAUCCCCCGGCUCACCCGGGGAACGGCUGGGUAUACUGCGGGUCUUGGGCCGACUAGGGGCAGCCGGAACAAGCGGUGGAGCGGUGAAAUGCGUAGAUAUCGCUUGGAACGCCGAAGGUGAAAACAGGCUGCUGGGGUCGCGACGACGCUGAGACACGAAAGCCAGGGGAGCAAACGGG
rnacentral:rRNA from 1 species